CAAGAAGGAACGCAGACUAAGAUCGCCACGUCCUUUGGCAACGUCUGCAUGACACCUCGAGGGGG
rnacentral:sRNA from 1 species